ACGCUCGACACCUACGGGAGGCAGCAGUGAGGAAUAUUGGUCAAUGGGCGCUAGCCUGAACCAGCCAAGUAGCGUGAAGGAUGAAGGCUCUAUGGGUCGUAAACUUCUUUUAUAUAAGAAUAAAGUGCAGUAUGUAUACUGUUUUGUAUGUAUUAUAUGAAUAAGGAUCGGCUAACUCCGUGCAGCAGCCGCGGUAAUCUGAGCGGGCUGGCAAGGC
rnacentral:rRNA from 1 species